CCACUUGAUCUCCUCACAAUUACCCCCCUGUACCAGCCUCUCGUGGGAGAACUGCCCGGCUGCAGGAGGGCAGGUCCUGUGAGCUGCAGUGACCCUGUCCUCAGUAAGAGGGCUGGUGCUGGGCAAAGCCCAGAGCCCCUUUGGGGGGGCUCAGGUGGGCACCGUGUGUGCCUGUUGCCCUGUUUUGCAGCAGUGUUGGUGCCAUGCCAUUGAGCAGCAGUGUGUGGAAUGAUGUUCCUGCUCUGCUGAGACUGGUCCCUUCCAUGCCCAGCCAGCCCCAGUGAGCUCUUGGCCUUUGCUGUUGCUUCUGGACUCUGCCACAACAGUCCACAGACCUCCUCUGUUUCAAAGGGUUUCACACCUCGGAGCUGCCCAGAGCUGCCUCUCCACGACUCCUCUCAAACCCACACUACAGGCAAGAGCUGCGCUGGUUAAAUCCAAAGCAAGGCAAGAGCUGUGCCCACUCCUGCAUGGAGUGGAGGCACGUGAUUUCCUGGAGAACCCAAGGCUACCCUAACUAAUUGAGCUCCCUUGCCAUGUUCUCUCAAAGCACUUAAUGCCACUAUGGCCCUUUUGUGCUGUGCAAAUGCCAGCCCAGGAGCCGUGGAGUUCUGAUGAAGCUCCUCACCCACACCAUCCGGGGGGUGCAGGCUGUGCUGAGCUGUGCUUCUUCCCUCCCUCAGGAGCAGGUGGGCUGUUCCUUCACAAAACCAAGCUUCCCAGGGUGAUUGGAUUCCGAGGGUGACUCCUUGGCUGCGGGGAUUUAACCCGUGGGUGUGUGUAGCUGUUGCUGCCAUGCAGGGCUCCAGCGUGGUCCUUCUGCCUGCAGAAACCCGGCCACCACCAGAGAAUCACAGAAUAUCCUCCAGUGCGGGGCACGGGCAGGCUGCGGGUGCCCCGAUACCCAGAAUCCGGGGCCGGCGAUGCUCCCGCACCCCUGUGCCUGCUCUCUGUGCCCGCCCUGCGCUCACACUGGGGCAGGACCGCCCCAGCACUCCUUAAAACCCACAAGGGGAGUUGUGAAACAGGAAUUCUGGUUUGUAUUGUAAUACAACACCGGUCUAUCAGCAGCACCAUCACCUGCUGUAAUCUCCUGAGCAUCUGCCACCGGGGGGUGACUCACCUGCAGGGCUGCUGUCACCAAAUAGCUUAUCAGAAGUGAACUGACUGAUUUUUCCUGCUCCUCCUGAUGAUAAGGGCAUCCACGGCCACCCCGCUCUUUGUCCGGCUCUUCCGCGUUGCGCGGGGUUGUUUUUACGCCGAGGUUUAGGUAGGUGGAGGAGGAAAGGAGGAGAGUUUAUGCACGAGGUUACCUGGCUCUCGGGUCACUCUGUCUGUGUGUCCCCGUGCAGCCCCAGGUCACGGCUGGCAGCUGCUCCUGGCAGUGCUGGGGGGGAGUUAAAGGUGAAGGAAGUGGGUGCCCGUGGAAGGUUGUCCUGAGGCUGCAAUGGGGAGACAACAGGGCAUGCUCAGGGGUGGCCGUGCCCUCCUCUCGCAGCCCCCAUCUCCUUGCAGAGCAGCUGGCCUGCUUGGGCGUUGGUGUUGCAUGAGCUGGGGCUGGCAGGGCUGUGUGGGAGAGGGGCUCUCACAGCCCUCAGCCCUGUUUUAGGCAGUGCUCUGCCUGCAGGCAGGUGCUGAGGGCGCUGGUGGAACCGUGCAUGUGUCUGAUGUAAAGCUGGGCUACACAUCCAGGAAUAAUCAAUCCCUCUGGGAUGGAGAGGCUUGGUUUAGCCUGGCAGGAUGGGAUGGAGGUUUAGGUGUGCAGGAGCUGCUCGCCCCAGCUGGCUGAAGGUGGCCCAGGGGCUGGGCUGGGGUCGGGGAGGCUGCAGGCUGCCUGCCCUCCUCCGCACUCCCCCUGGAAGUGAUGGGUGUGCAGGGUUUGCUGAGCAGCUAAUUACCCUCUCCUUUGGUAAUCCAGCUUUCCACAGGGUCAGGAGAGCUGCUGCUGCCAGGUGUGUGUGCUGUGCCAGUGGGAGGCUGCAGAGAGCCCUGGACCUGUAGCUCCUCAGACAGAGAGCUGUGCCAUUGCUGUACCAUUGCUGUGCCAGCUCAGCAGGGACCCUUCCUGUUCCAGUAGCCUGACCAGGGAUCCUGGAAUCCAUGUGUGGCUCUGCAGCCACAGGAGGUGGUUUUUCCCUCUUUCCACGAGCAGGAGUUGAUUUCCCACCUGACCCUGUGGUUCGGGACUUUGAGGAGAUGAUCUCAUAGAGCUGAACCAGUUGGACCAGUGGGCGAGGACUGGUGCCUGGCCUCGAUGCAGUGGGGGUGGUGAGGCAGCUGUGUCACCGGGAGAGGAGGACACGGGCAGGACGUGCCAGGCUCCAGCACUCACAGGGCUCUGCUGCAGCAGCUCCAGCCCAGGACAGCCGUGAGCAGCUCCUGCACUCAAC